rnacentral:lncRNA from 1 species
UGUUUGGUAGUCUGAAGACAACAGCGACUUGUUCUUUGUUUUUCUUCAGAGAUCAGUUUCUAAAGCGUUCAUGUCUUUUCUGUGCGGUUUUGUGCUUCUAGCUUUUAAAGCCGUUUUGAACCAGCCUUUGAAGACCAUCCGGGAAAUUCUAGUUAAUCAGACUGCCCAUAUGUUGGCGUGUUACCGGAAGCACUGUGCGAGCCCUUCUGCAGCAAGCCAGCUUAUACUGCCAGAUUCCAUGAAAGUUCUGCCCGUGUACAUGAACAGUCUGUUGAAAAACUGUGUGCUGCUCAGCAGACCCGAGAUCUCCCCUGACGAGCGGGCGUACCAACGGCAGCUGGUGAUGACCAUGGGCGUGGCUGACUC